CGGUGGCCCUGGAAGUCGGAACCCGCUAAGGAGUGUGUAACAACUCACCUGCCGAAUGAAUUAGCCCUGAAAAUGGAUGGCGCUGAAACGGGGGACCGAUACCUAACCAUCAGGAUAAGAAGAGUCUUGAUGAGUAAGAGGGCGUGGGGGUUGUGUAGAAGUUGAUGAUGUGAAUCUCAAUGGAACAGCUUCCAGUGCAGAUCUUGGUGGUAGUAGCAAUUAAUCAAGUGAGAAUCUUGAUGGCCGUGUGGAGAAGGGUUCCGUGAGAACAGCAAUUGGUCACGGGUGAUUCGAUCCUAAGACAGCGGGAAGUUCCAUUUAAAGAGUACUUUACUCGAUGUCGAAAGGGAAUGUGGUUAAGAUUCCACAAACUGGAUGUGGAUAAAAUGUGGUAACACAAGUGAACUCGGAGACACCAGUCCGAACCUCCGGAAGAGUUGUCUUUUCUUCUUAACGAACCAUCGCCUUGGAAUUGGAUUAUCCAGAGAUGAGGCUUUAUGUUCGGCAGAGCAACACAUUAACAGUGUUGUCGGAAGCGUUCGGGAUGGUCCUUGAAAAUCCGAGGGAGAGAUUUAUUGCACACCAGGUCGUACCAACAACCGCAUCAGGUCUCCAAGGUUAGCAGCCUCUGGUCAAUAGAAUAAUGUAGAUAAGGGAAUUCGGCAAAAUGGAUCCGUAACUUCGGGAAAAGGAUUGGCUCUGAGGACUGGGUUUAGGAACUCAAUUACAAAAACCAAGUUAAUUUAGGACUGCAAGGCAACGAGUGGAUCUAGAUAUGCGAAGUUGGAGUCUUUGAGAAAUCCUAAGCGAGGAACAGUCGACUCAGAACUGAAGCGGACAAGGGGAAUCCGACUGUUUACUUAAAACAUAGCAAUGUGAGGGCCUGAAAAGGUGUUGACACAUUGUGAUUUCUGCCCAGUGCUUUGAAUGUCAACGUGAAGAAAUUCAAUCAAGCGCAGGUAAACGGCGGGAGUAACUAUGACUCUCUUAAGGUAGCCAAAUGCCUCGUCAUCUAAUUAGUGACGCGCAUGAAUGGAUCAAUGAGAUUCCCACUGUCCCUAUCUACUAUCUAGCGAACCCACAGCCAAGGGAACGGGCUUGGAAAAAUCAGCGGGGAAAGAAGACCCUGUUGAGCUUGACUCUAGUCCGACUUUGUGAAAUGACUUACGAGGUAUAGCCUAAGUGGGAGAGUAAUCGCGCCUGUAAAACCACUACUCGUUUUGCCAUUUUACUUAUUCCGUCAGACAGAAGCCUCUUGAGGUUCUAGUGCAAGAUUCUAUUUAUUUAGAGUCGAUCUGGGCGGAAGACAGGGUCAGAUGGGGAGUUUGGCUGGGGCGGCACAUCUGUUAAACAGUAACGCAGGUGUCCUACGGCAAGCUCAGAGAGAACAGAAAUCUCUCGUAGACCAAAAGGGGAAAAGCUUGCUUGAUUCCGGUUUUCAGUACGAACACGAACUGUGAAAGCAUGGCCUAUCGAUCCUUUAUCUUUAGAAGUUUUAAGCUAGAGGUGUCAGAAAAGUUACCACAGGGAUAACUGGCUUGUGGCAGCCAAGCGUCCAUAGCGACGUUGCUUUUUGAUCCUUCGAUGUCGGCUCUUCCUAUCAUUGUGAAGCAGAAUUCACAACGUGUCGGAUUGUUCACCCGCUAAUAGGGAACGUGAGCUGGGUUUAGACCGUCGUGAGACAGGUUAGUUUUACCCUACUGAUGAAUUGAUGUUGUGACAGCAAUCCAAGUUAGUACGAGAGGAACCCUUGGAUCAGAUAAUUGGUAAAGCGGUUGAUUGAACAAUCAGUGCCGCAAAGCUACCAUCUGUCGGAUUAUGACUGAACGCCUCUAAGUCAGAAUCCAUGCUGGCAACAACGUCCAAUCAAUAAAAAAAGAAACGCUAUAUUCUAAUAGUUCACAAGGCUAUCUAUCAUGUCCUAAUAAUAAGGAUAUGAUCGUGGCUAAAACUAUUUAAUUUAUUAUUGACACAAAUCUUCUGCAGACGACUUAACUAAGGACAGGGUAUUGUACGUCUGAGAGUAAAUUUAUUUUACGAUCAACUCAGAUUCAUCCCUGCUCCUACGAUUUGU
rnacentral:rRNA from 1 species